rnacentral:rRNA from 1 species
CCAUUAGAUGUUCUGGGCCGCACGCGCGCUACACUGACGAUGGCAACGAGUUUUUCCUUCGCCGAAAGGUGUGGGUAAUCUUUUGAAACAUCGUCGUGCUGGGGAUAGAUCAUUGCAAUUUUUGAUCUUGAACGAGGAAUUCCUAGUAAGCGCGAGUCAUCAGCUCGCGUUGAUUACGUCCCUGCCCUUUGUACACACCGCCCGUCGCUACUACCGAUUGAAUGGUUUAGUGAGGACUCCUGAUUGGCGCCGCCGCCCCGGCAACGGAGCAGCGGACUGCCGAAAAGUUGUUCAAACUUGAUCAUUUAGAGGAAGUAAAAGUCGUAACA